GUUGGCUAGGUCAGUUGGUAGAGCAUGGGGCUCUUGAUCUCAGGAUCAUGGGUUUGAGCCUCAUGCUAGGCA